GACAGAGGUGCCGAGCGUUAGGCGGAAUCACUGGGCUUAAAGCGUGUGUAGGCGGAUUCCUAAGUACCUUGUGAAAUCCCACGGCUUAACCGUGGAACUGCUUGGUAUACUGGGUGUCUUGAGCCAACUAGGGGGCGACCGGAACAAACGGUGGAGCGGUGAAAUGCGUAGAUAUCGUUUGGAACGCCAAUGGUGAAAACAGGUCGCUGGGGUUGUGCUGGACGCUGAGACACGAAAGCCAGGGGAGCGAACGGGA
rnacentral:rRNA from 1 species